rnacentral:rRNA from 1 species
UGAGGAAUAUUGGACAAUGGGUUAGCGCCUGAUCCAGCCAUCCCGCGUGAAGGACGACGGCCCUAUGGGUUGUAAACUUCUUUUGUAUAGGGAUAAACCUUUCCACGUGUGGAAAGCUGAAGGUACUAUACGAAUAAGCACCGGCUAACUCCGUGCCAGCAGCCGCGGUAAUACGGAGGGUGCAAGCGUUAUCCGGAUUUAUUGGGUUUAAAGGGUCCGUAGGCGGAUCUGUAAGUCAGUGGUGAAAUCUCAUAGCUUAACUAUGAAACUGCCAUUGAUACUGCAGGUCUUGAGUAAGGUAGAAGUAGCUGGAAUAAGUAGUGUAGCGGUGAAAUGCAUAGAUAUUACUUAGAACACCAAUUGCGAAGGCAGGUUACUAUGUCUUAACUGACGCUGAUGGACGAAAGCGUGGGGAGCGAACA